rnacentral:rRNA from 1 species
UACGUAGGAGGCGAGCGUUGUCCGAAAUUACUGGGCGUAAAGAGCGCGUAGGCGGCGCGAUACGACCGAUGUGAAAGCCCCCGGCUCAACUGGGGAGGGUCAUCGGUAACGGUCGUGCUAUGAGUGCAGGAGAGGGAAGUGGAACUCCGGGAGUAGCGGUGAAAUGCGUAGAGACUCGGAGGAACACCAACGGCGAAAGCACUCUGCUGGGCCGACACUGACACUGAGAGACGAAAGCUAGGGGAGCGAAUGGG